AACGAACGCUGGCGGCAGGCCUAACACAUGCAAGUCGAACGAUGCCUUCGGGCAUAGUGGCGCACGGGUGAGUAACACGUGGGAAUAUACCUUUCGGUGGGGGAUAACGUCGGGAAACUGACGCUAAUACCGCAUACGCCCUUUUGGGGAAAGAUUUAUCGCCGAAAGAUUAGCCCGCGUCCGAUUAGCUAGUUGGUGAGGUAACGGCUCACGAAGGCGACGAUCGGUAGCUGGUCUGAGAGGAUGAUCAGCCACACUGGGACUGAGACACGGCCCAGACUCCUACGGGAGGCAUCAGUGGGGAAUAUUGCACAAUGGGCGCAAGCCUGAUCCAGCCAUGCCGCGUGAGUGAUGAAGGCCUUAGGGUUGUAAAGCUCUUUCGACGGGGACGAUGAUGACGGUACCGGUUGAGGAAGCCCCGGCUAACUACGUGCCAGCCGCCGCGGUAAAAC
rnacentral:rRNA from 1 species